CCUACGGGACGCAGCAGUGAGGAAUAUUGGUCAAUGGGCGAGAGCCUGAACCAGCCAAGUCGCGUGAAGGAUGACGGCCCUACGGGGUGUAAACUUCUUUUGUCAGGGAGCAAUUGGGUCCACGCGUGGGCUUAGCGAGAGUACCUGAAGAAAAAGCAUCGGCUAAGUCCGUGCAAGCAGCCGCGGUAAUACGGAGGAUGCGAGCGUUAUCCGUAUUUAUUGGGUUUAAAGGGUGCGUAGGCGGAAUAUCAAGUCAGCGGUAAAAAUUCGGGGCUCAACCCCGUCGUGCCGUUGAAACUGAUGUUCUUGAGUGGGCGAGAAGUAUGCGGAAGGCGUGGUGUAGCGGUGAAAUGCAUAGAUAUCACGCAGAACUCCGAUUGCGAAGGCAGCAUACCGGCGCCCAACUGACGCUGAAGCACGAAAGCGUGGGUAUCGAACAGGAUUAGAUACCCGAGUAGUC
rnacentral:rRNA from 1 species